ACGGCGUGCCUUGUCCUGCUGCUGGUUGGAAGCGUAGAGAACUCCCAUCCUUGCAGGUCACAAGGCACGCCUUCUUCAUAGGGCCAGCGUCACGCGGUCACCGAUCGGUGGAUCCAG
rnacentral:sRNA from 1 species